rnacentral:rRNA from 1 species
UAGUCCCAGCCGUAAACGGUGUGCACUUGGUGUGGGCGGUAUUGACCCCGUCCGUGCCGGAGCUAACGCGUUAAGUGCACCGCCUGGGGAGUACGGCCGCAAGGUUAAAACUCAAAGAAAUUGACGGGGGCCCGCACAAGCGGAGGAGCAUGUGGCUUAAUUCGAUGCAACGCGAAGAACCUUACCUGGGCUUGACAUGGGGACCCUUCGGGGGUGGUAGUGAAAGCUACCUUUACCAUCACAGGUGCUGCAUGGCUGUCGUCAGUUCGUGCCGUGAGGUGUUGGAUUAAGUCCCGCAACGAACGCAACCCUUGUGGUUAGUUGCCACCGCCGGUGAUGAGCCGGCGAGCACUCUAGCCAGACUGCCUGUACAAGCAGGAGAAGUGGGGAUGACGUCAAGUCAGUAUGGCCCUUACGCCCAGGGCUGCACACGUGCUACAAUGGUCAGUACAAAGGGAAGCAAUACCGCGAGGUGGAGCAAAUCCCCAAAACUGGCCCCAGUUCGGA